rnacentral:rRNA from 1 species
CAGCAGCCGCGGGAAUACGUAGGUGGCAAGCGUUGACCGGAAUUAUUGGGCGUAAAGGGCUCGCAGGCGGUUUCUUAAGUCUGAUGUGAAAGCCCCCGGCUCAACCGGGGAGGGUCAUUGGAAGCUGGGAGACUUGAGUGCAGAAGAGGAGAGUGGAAUUCCACGUGUAGCGGUGAAAUGCGUAGAGAUGUGGAGGAACACCAGUGGCGAAGGCGACUCUCUGGUCUGUAACUGACGCUGAGGAGCGAAAGCGUGGGGAGCGAACAGGAUUAGAUACCCGCGUAGUCCCUGUCUUUAUACA